AGAAUACAAAUGGAUUCUCCCAGUGCCAUUUGCAGAGGCAUUUUGCUUUUGCCCACUGUUGGAGACAGGAGCUACAUGGACCUUUCGCCUGGCCCGGUGUCGCUGCUCUUCUGUUCUUGUGCUCGUGUUGUGAAAGACUUGGAGUCCUUGUGGUAGGAAGAAAGGGAAUCUGCUUCCAGAAUAAACUGGAGGACAAAGAGGAUCAGAGCAAUGUUUAUACACAUACACAGUAAUUUCUUGCUCAGUGUAUGUAUACAUAGGCACGUGAGCUAUGUGUGUCAACAGUACAUUUUUUCUAAGGUAAAUGUUUUUCUCCACAAAGCCCAAAUCCCACUUAGGGGAGAAACAGCCUUGCCAAUAACUGGAUUCAAUUUAUAAGAAACUAGGUGGAAAUAAUGAUGAGGAAAUGAGAAAAAUAAGCUUUUGAUGAAAUAAUUAAUGACUAGUUGUGACACAAUCUCACAGCAACAAUCCAAGGCUCAGGGAGAUCAGAGGAGACCAUCUACUGCCAGACAAUGCUUGCCAUGCAAAGCCAAGUAGCCUCCUGUUUGUAAUUUAAAAUCAUAACCAUACACAUGAACUGCAGUUAGGGGCAGCUUGUUUGUUUUAAAUUCUCUCCUAACAAAGUUACAGCACCCUCUUCACGUUGCAUCUGAAAGGGGAAUGGACCAGCGAGUUCCAAGCAGUUAUGCAGCAUGUAAGACAGGUCCAGCUUUACAGCAGCUAAAGCCAGGAAAUGAAUGCUCCAACGUGUGUGAAUUAUUCUACUGCCACCAAACUGAGCAGAGCACUGCUUCUCACAGAUCUGGUCCAAAAGACUGAAUGCAGUGGCUCUUAGCUGGGAAUAGCUGGCAAAUCUGAAGAGCCUACAAAAGGUGCAACGAAAAAGCAAAGCUUUUGUCAACAGGCUUGUGCUUGCUGUCACCAAGUCCUCACCCCCAUUGGCCAUGUUUUUAUGGACCCAAAAGUGGACAAUGUUGAAAGACUCAAAUAGAGCCUUCUGCUAAAAUAUUCUGCCCUUGGAGCUGACAUUCCUGAUGUUCACCAAGCAGAGGUGCGGAUGAGCCUGUGACAGUGGGUUGGUUCAGUUCAGGAGUCCCAUUUGAAGGCAAACUCAACAUCAUGCCCACUCCCUUGUUUCUGCUUGCACUGCAGCCUGGUCUCAGUUGCACAAACUGUAUCACUCUGCCUGAAAGCAAACGAGCAGAGGUGCUCCAGGACUGCUUCAGAUGGGCUCUGACUGCCAGUGGGAUUGUUCAGUCCAUAUAGCCAGGCUAUAGCUAGUCUGAAACCCUUGAAAUCACUGCUAGGCAGGCAUAAGGAUGGCCCCACCAUGUUUUUGCAAGGCAUUAACUGUAAAUGCCAACAGAGCCACUGUGCUGCACUCUGCUCCUGAGUCAAAAACAGGCUGAUUGCAGAGGUGCAGAGCCGCUGUCCUGUCUGCUCAGCUCUGAGGUUAGCUCUUUCCACUGGCCUGCUCUGUGCAUCCACCAUCCCAAGCAGAUUAGUAAGGGAAGGCAUGAUGGGACACAGUCCACUCCUAAUCGCUUCCAGAAGUCCUGUUUCUAGCUUGGUCAAGGCACUGCUGAGUCAUUUUCAUGCAGAAUGAGUUAUGGCUGUGUUUAAAACCUCUUUAUUACCCUUCAGUAAUCCAGAGCUCAAUCUUGCACUUUUAAUGCUCCUCUUCUAAAGGGCAGAUUUAUAUGUAAAACACUUUACACUUUGGUUUCCUCCUAAAUAAUAACUAACGUUGCUCUUCUGAGUGCUUUAUGACAUUAGCUAACUAGUCCUGACAACACCCCGGGUUUCCAUAUGCACAGCAGAAAGCUUGGAUGAGGUCCUUAAGUCUGGUGUUUUUAAUUCUCCUGAUUUUAUUGUGAGUCUAUGGUGGGCUUUUUCUCCAAGGCUCUGCUCCUGGAGGCACAUGAUCACAUGACUCUCUCACUUUUUAUUUUAACAGUAGAUUUCUAAUUCUUCCAUUUGCAGGGGAAAGCCUGACAAUGUAAUGCAAACGCACUGCAAGGCUCAAAAACAGAUGCCAAGCAACAGAAGCCAAACUGUGCAGCCAUUUUUAAAUCUCAGAAGUUUUAAGGCAAUCUAAACAUUCUCGGGGUCUUCACCCAUGUUUUCUGACUGUGGAGGGGCUUGGCAGUAAAUAAAGCUUCACAUUACAAAGAGGCUAAAGUGAAUAAAGUCUUCAGGGAUGCUAAUA